rnacentral:rRNA from 1 species
AUACGGAGGGUGCAAGCGUUGUCCGGAUUUAUUGGGUUUAAAGGGUGCGUAGGUGGCGUGUUAAGUCAGUGGUAAAAGCCUGCAGCUCAACUGUAGAGGUGCCAUUGAUACUGACAUGCUUGAGUAUGGACGAGGUAGGCGGAAUUUGUGGUGUAGCGGUGAAAUGCAUAGAUACCACAAAGAACACCGAUAGCGAAGGCAGCUUACUGGACCAUAGCUGACACUGAGGCACGAAAGCGUGGGGAGCGAACAGGAUUAGAUACCCCAGUAGUCC